AACACAUAAAAGCAAGAAGCCACAUAUUGGGAGAACAUUUCACAGAGGUGGGAUUUCAGUGGCUGCAAAGGCCUAGUCUCCCCAAGUUUGGAGACCAAGGGGUGUGUUAAAAGGAACGUGGCAGUUUUUUGAGAGAAUGUUUGCAAGACACAAUGCCCAGGCUGGUGGCCUGGGAUCAGAAGUGGGAAGUACCAGCUGUGGCCACCAGCUAGGUGUGUGUGCACUGAGUGUGGCAGCAGGCAGCCAGAGGGUGCCAGCCCAUGGGUGUGGUGAGCUCAGGCCGCACCCUGCUUCUCAAGAAGCAAUGCCAAUGUCAUGCUGAUAACACAGCGUGGUGUUCGGUGACAAGCCUCUGACCUCAGCUCAUGCUUCAGAGCCUGGCUUCAUGAGGACAUGCUGCAGCAAGUCACUAGGAGAGCCUGGGCGCCUGGCAGCGUGACAGGGCCAUACAACGCAGGGCAUCAUCCAGCAGUUCUGCCUGGGGCCGCAUCCUGACCACCGCCAUCCCCUGAGGACAGCAGUCAUACUCAGCUGGCGUGCUCACCUCUGUGUGCCCAAGAGGCCCAGCAGCCUGAGGAACGGCUUAGCAGAGCACCAGCAAGGCUGAGGAGCCUGAGGCCAACUGGGCUGUGCUGCCUGAGGAAAGGGCUGAGAAACUAUCCCAAAUGACCUGCUGGCUGUCAUUAUUUGCAGGCUCCCCUUUUGUGAACAGGCACCAGAAAUAGCAGCAAAUGGUUUUCUCAGAGAUAGAGAAACUACACGUGCACGUGAACACAUAUUGCUCUAAUGCAUCAAGCCAAUUAGGCUGUUCAGACAUGUCUAGGGUUCCUCAAACAAAGCACGAUCUGGAGUUGUGCACAAAGGUCUUCAGAGCAAACAAAAGGGCAGAGAUUUUCCUUAGUUUCCUAUGGAAUAGACACGUGUUAUAUAAAUGGGAUUUGGCAUUCUUUCUGAAUUCUUGCAGGAAUACAAAGGUUUUAUCAAAAAGCCACAAAAGGAUUUGCCCUGUAUAGGCCCAGAAGAGGCCAUUCCUGUGUUCUCCACCAUAGCAAUUUCCAAAGUAGGAGAGAAAAUCAGGUCUGAGAAUGGCACUAUCAAAAACACCAUGAGAUGUUCUGGCAAAGACAAAUACCAGGCAGUGUCUCUACUGAAUGAAAUAAGUAUUGACAUUAAUAUGGAACAAAGUAGGACGUGACAGUCAGACCAGCUGUAAUCUCUGAGUCUGCACUCUGCCUCCUCUGCCAUCUAAAAUGGCGCCAUGUCCUGUGUUGGGAGGACAUGAUGCAGUAGUUCUGUCAUGCAGCAUGCUUGCACAUCUAGGAAAAUGCAAAAGAAGGCAGAAAUUACGAGCUACUUUCUUCUGUCUCCUGCUCCAGUAUACCAGCUGUUUACUGUCAUGUUGUUAUCAAUAUCCUGCUGUUGUGUAAGGUCCCUCUGGGGACACUGUGCUUAUGGGCAUACAGCACCUACUGAAUCUGUUCAGUGUUGCCACAGCAAAUAAAUGCUACUGUC
ensembl:lncRNA